AAGGAGGCUGGGAUGGAUUUGCUGUGGUGGGCUGCUGUGCAGGAGGAGGAUGAGGACUCGGUGGUUACCAUCUGGUGGCCUGGUGCAGUGAGGUGCCCCCUUUUAUUCUUACUGCUAAAUAACUAAAAGCAUAUCUAGGAAAUAAUGUUGAGCAUCUACACCACUCAUGUAGAUGCUCAUGUUUAUAUAAUGUGUUUCUAAACAAAUGUACG
rnacentral:lncRNA from 1 species